rnacentral:rRNA from 1 species
AACCAACAGGGAUUGCCCCAGUAACGGCGAGUGAAGCGGCAACAGCUCAAAUUUGAAAUCUGGCCCCUAGGGUCCGAGUUGUAAUUUGUAGAGGAUGCUUUUGGUGAGGUGCCGCCCGAGUUCCCUGGAACGGGACGCCGCAGAGGGUGAGAGCCCCGUCUGGCUGGCCACCGAGCCUAUGUAAAGCUCCUUCGACGAGUCGAGUAGUUUGGGAAUGCUGCUCAAAAUGGGAGGUAUAUGUCUUCUAAAGCUAAAUAUUGGCCAGAGACCGAUAGCGCACAAGUAGAGUGAUCGAAAGAUGAAAAGCACCUUGAAAAGAGGGUUAAACAGUACGUGAAAUUGUUGAAAGGGAAGCGCUUGUGACCAGACUUGGGCGCGGCGGAUCAUCCGGGGUUCUCCCCGGUGCACUUCGCCGCGUUCAGGCCAGCAUCAGUUCGGCGCGGGGGAAAAAGGCUUCGGGAACGUGGCUCCUCCGGGAGUGUUAUAGCCCGUUGCAUAAUACCCUGCGCUGGACUGAGGACCGCGCAUCUGCAAGGAUGCUGGCGUAAUG